rnacentral:lncRNA from 1 species
CGAGCACCACAGACAAGCCACCAUCUUUAACUACGCUAACCACAAAUAUUUACUUAACUAUGAGAAAAGCUGAUAUUCAUAUACGGAGUCAAAUACAAACUGGGCAAAGCAGUUCUUUAUUUUUUUAGCCCAGAGGCUGCAGCUCACCUUCUCUUUUGCAGCUGGAGUCCGACACUGGUGGUUUAUUUAUCUAACGGGCAUUAUCCACCAUGAUUGUUCUUGUUCAUGACCGUGGAAGAAAAUACAUAUACAGGCCACCAGAAUUUGUUUUCUAUGCUCACCAUCUCAAUCUAAUACCAAUUACAUUAGCUGCUGCUUUAAAGAUGGUUCGAAGAAAAGACAUAAUGUGAUUUUUUUUGCAUGAUCAGGCAUUUUAAACAUUUUCUCAAAAUCUAAUCUCUGUGUUGCAACUCUUCAUGCUUGUACUCGGCUUCCAGCUCUGUAGUAGGAGGACAGCUUCUAGCUAGAACACAGGUUUCUAUGGGAACAAAAGAAUAACACUGAAUCAAUGGAUUGCAAAAUAUGGGCCUUGUCCUACAAAUCCCGAGGAGGAGGUUUUAUUCCUGCCCAUAGUCCCUUUGCUCCCACAGAGGAGAGCUUUCAGGACCAGCCCUGGACAUUAGGAAGUAACGCCACAGCCUCCACUGCCAGAACUCGCUGUCAGUUGAACGGUUGAAGCUGUUAGCGCCUCUUUCCGAGGGAGAGCACGGAGUCAGGCCUGCCACCGGCCGAGCGGGCAGACCGGCCACUGAAGCAGACCGGGGUUGCAAUCUUAACAAACCCAACGCGAGCAGAAAGAGCAGGUAAGCCGGGGGAGAUGGUUAGCACAUGGAGGAGCCUUCCAUUCAGCUCCGGAUGUCAAAGAAAACAGCUCCGCGAGAAGAGAAGAUCAACUUCAGAAUGGAAAGCCGUGCAGCCUGAGUUGCGCAAUUCUUUGGAAGGUGGCCAGUUCUGUAGGGUCCCUCCUGAGUCUACUUAAUUGCAUGAAAUAAGAUGAAAAGACAGGCUAAUGAGAAACCCCAUCUGCCAGCCGACUAAAAUUAAGGCUGCCUUCUUUAGCAAAAUGUGCUCAGAUAUUUGUACUCUUUUAAUAUCUCUUCAUAUGGCCAAGCAGGUUUCAGAUAUGUAGCUCGUUUCUUUUUUUCCCCUUAGUUUUCGUAGUUUGCCUCUGAACAGCUGGGUAAGUGGAAAAAUUUGGCUGAAGGCUUCUAUUUCAGCAUGAAUUUAUUUAAGAGAGUAUUAGUUAAUAAACUCUGGCGUCCAACCUGCUUAUUAUUUCA